rnacentral:rRNA from 1 species
ACGGAGGGAGCUAGCGUUGUUCGGAAUUACUGGGCGUAAAGCGCGCGUAGGCGGCUUUGUAAGUUAGAGGUGAAAGCCCGGGGCUCAACCCCGGAAUUGCCUUUAAGACUGCAUCGCUAGAAUCCGGGAGAGGUGAGUGGAAUUCCGAGUGUAGAGGUGAAAUUCGUAGAUAUUCGGAAGAACACCGGUGGCGAAGGCGGCAUCCUGGACCAUUUACUGACGCUGAGGCGCGAAAGCUAGGGGAGCAAACGGGA